UACGUAGGGGGCUAGCGUUGUCCGGAAUCAUUGGGCGUAAAGCGCGUGUAGGCGGUCCGGUAAGUCCGCUGUGAAAGUCGGGGGCUCAACCCUCGGAUGCCGGUGGAUACUGUCGGGCUUGAGUACGGAAGAGGCGAGUGGAAUUCCUGGUGUAGCGGUGAAAUGCGUAGAUAUCGGGAGGAACACCAGUGGCGAAGGCGACUACCUGGCCUGUUCUUGACGCUGAGGCGCGAAAGCUAGGGGAGCAAACGGG
rnacentral:rRNA from 1 species